rnacentral:rRNA from 1 species
UACGUAGGUGGCAAGCGUUUGUCCGGAAUUAUUGGGCGUAAAGCGCGCGCAGGUGGUUUCUUAAGUCUGAUGUGAAAGCCCACGGCUCAACCGUGGAGGGUCAUUGGAAACUGGGGAACUUGAGUGCAGGAGAGAAGAGUGGAAUUCCACGUGUAGCGGUGAAAUGCGUAGAGAUGUGGAGGAACACCAGUGGCGAAGGCGACUCUUUGGCCUGUAACUGACACUUGAGGCGCGAAAAGCGUGGGGGAGCAAACAGGG